AUGGCGCGCGUCCUGGCCGCGCUCCCUCUUGGCCGCCCAGCCCAGCCCAGCCCUGCCCUGCUGCCUCGGAACGUCUCACCACCCCGGCUCCCGCGAGCAACUCUGGCGCCGGCAACCGCCUCUCGCCGCGCCCUCUCCCGGCCGCGCCCGGCCCGCACCGGCCGCCGCGCCCGCCCUGUUCCUCGCCGCACGCCGAAUCUGGCAACAUCUGCCACUGUGGUGAACUUCACUGUAGACCAGAUCCGGGCCAUCACGGACAAGAAGGCCAACAUCCGCAAUGUGUCUGUCAUCGUCCAUGUGGACCAUGGCAAGUCCACUCUGAGGCACUCCCUGGUAUGCAAAGUUAGCAUCAUCGUGUCUGCUUGUGCUGGUGAGACCCACUUCACUGACACCCAGAAGGAUGAGCAGAAGCGCUGUAUCACCACCAAGUCAACCGCUGUCUCCCUCUUCUAUGAGCUUUCUGAGAAUAACUUGAACUUUAUCAAGCAGAGCAAGGAUGGCUCUGGCUUCCUCAUCAACCUCAUCGACUCCCCUGGGCACAUGGACUUCUCCUCAGAGGUGACAGCUGCUUUACGUGUCACUGAUAGCACCUUGGUGGUGGUGGAUUGUAUGUCAGCCACAUGCAUGCUGACAGAGACAGUUCUGUGACAGGCCAUCACCGAGUGCAUCAAGCCUGUACUCAUGAUGAACAAGAUGGACUGUGCCCUGCUCAAGCUGCAGCUGGAGCCUGAGGAGCUGUACCAGACCUUCCAGCACACUGUGGAGAAUGUCAACAUCAUCAUCUCCACCUAUGGUAAGGGCAAGAGUGGCCCCAUAGGCAACACCAUGAUUGACUCUGUCCUUGGUACUGUGGGCCUUGGUUCUGGCCUGCAUGGCUGGGCUUUCACCCUGAAGCAGUUUGCAGAGAUGUAUGUGGCCAAGUUUUCUGCCAAGGGGGAGGGCCAGCUGGGGCCUGCUGAGAAGGCCAAGAAGGUAGAAGACAUGAUGAAGAAGCUGUGGGGGGACUGGUACUUUGACCCAGCCAGUGGCAAGUUUAGCAAGUCAGCCCCCAGCCCUGACAGAAGGAAGCUGCCCCAUACUUUCUGCCAGCUCAUCCUGGACCUCAUCUUCAAGUUGUUUGACGCAAUCAUCAACUUCAAGAAAGAGGAGAUGGCAAAGCUGAUUGAGAAACUGCACGUUAAGCUGGACAGCGAGGACAAAGACAAAGAGGGCAAGCCCCUGCUCAAGGCUGUGAUGCGCCGCUGGCUGCCAGCUGGGGAUGUGCUGCUGCAGAUGAUCAUGAUCCACUUGCCGUCACCUGUCACAGCACAGAAGUACUGUGGUAUUAAAUACCAUUAAAAGCUGUCAUCCCAAAGGCCCCUUAAAGAUGCACACUUCUAAAAUGGUGUCAUCCUCCAAUUAAGAUUGGUUUUAUGCCUUUAGAUGCCUCUUCUUGGGGCUGGUGUCCACUAGCCUGAAGGUCCGGAUUAUGGGCCCUAACUAUAUCCCUGGGAAGAAGGAGGACCUCUGCCUGAAGCCCAUCCAGAGGACUACUCUGAUGAUGGGCCGCUAUGUGGAGCCCAUUGAGAACGUGCCUUGUGGGAACAUCAUGGGACUGGUGGAUGUGGACCAGUUCCUAGUGAAGACUGGCACCAUCACCACCUUUGAACAUGCCUACAGCAUGCAUGUGAAGAAGUUCAGUGUCAGCCCUGUAGUCUGAGUGACUGUGGAGGCCAAGAACCUGGCUGACCUUCCCAAACUAGUGGAGGGGAUAAAGCGGCUGGCCAAGUCCCAUCCCAUACUCAGUGCAGUACAUCAGUGAGUAGUCAAGAGAGCACAAUAUCGCGGGCACUGGCGAGCUGUACCUGGAGAUCUGCCUCAAGGACCUGGAGGGGGACCACACCUGCAUCACCAUCAAGAAAUCGGACCCUGUGGUCUCAUACCAGAAGACAGUGAGUGAGAAGUUGAAUGUGAUGUGCCUCUCCAAGCCCCCUAAAAAGCACAACCACCUGAACAUGAAGGCACGGCCCUUCCUGGACAACCUGGCUGAGGACAUUGACAAGGGUGAGGUGUCUACCUGCCAGGAGCUAAAGCAAUGUGCCUGCUACCUGACUGAGAAGUAUGAGUGGGAUGUGGCAGAGGCCUGCAAGAUCUGGUGCUUUGGCCUCGAUGGCACUGGCCCCAACAUUUUCAUUGACAUCACCAAGGGGGAUGCAGCACCUCAAUGAGAUCAAGGAUAGUGUGGUGGCCAGCUUCCAGUGGGCCAACAAGGAGGGGGUACUAUGUGAGGAAAAUAUGUGUGGAGUGCACUUUGAUGUCCAUGAUGUGACCCUGCAUGCCAGUGCCAUCCACUCUAACGCCAUCCACCGUGGGGGUGGUCAGAUCAUCCCCAUGAUGCAGCGCUGCCUAUAUGCUAAUAUGCUGGCAGCACAGCCACACCUCAUGGAGCCCAUCUACCUUGUGGAGAUUCAGUGCCCAGACCAAGCGCUUGGGGGGGAUCUAUGGUGUUCUGAACAGGAAGCAAGGCCAUGUCUUCCAGGAGUCCCAGGUAGCUGGCAUGUUUGUGGUUAAGGCCUACCUGCCCUUCAGUGAGUUCUUCGGCUUCACUUCUGACCUGUGGUUCAACAUGGGUGGCCAGGCCUUCAUCCAGUGUGUGUUUGACCACUGGCAGAUCCUGCCUGGUGAUCCCUUUGACAACAGAAACCACCCGAGCAGGUGGUUGUGGAGACCUGCAAGCACAAGGGCCUGAAGGAGGGCAUCCCAGCAUUGUACAACUUCCUGGACAAGUUGUAG